rnacentral:rRNA from 1 species
GCGCUAAUACCGCAUAUUCUGUGAGCAGGAAAGCAGGGGACCGCAAGGCCUUGCGCUCUUUGAGCGGCCGAUGUCAGAUUAGCUAGUUGGUGAGGUAAAGGCUUACCAAGGCGACGAUCUGUAGCGGGUCUGAGAGGAUGAUCCGCCACACUGGAACUGAGACACGGUCCAGACUCCUACGGGAGGCAGCAGUGGGGAAUUUUGGACAAUGGGGGCAACCCUGAUCCAGCCAUGCCGCGUGAGUGAAGAAGGCCUUCGGGUUGUAAAGCUCUUUCGGCCGGGAAGAAAUCGCAUGGGCCAAUACCCUGUGUGGAUGACGGUACCGGAAUAAGAAGCACCGGCUAACUACGUG